GACGAACGCUGGCGGCGUGCCUAACACAUGCAAGUCGAACGGAACUGUUUUGAAAGCUUUCUUCGGAAUGAAUUUGAUUUAGUUUAGUGGCGGACGGGUGAGUAACGCGUGAGUAACCUGCCUUCAAGAGGGGAAUAACAUUCUGAAAAGAAUGCUAAUACCGCAUGACAUAUCGGAACCACAUGGUUUUGAUAUCAAAGAUUUUAUCGCUUGAAGAUGGACUCGCGUCCGAUUAGUUAGUUGGUGAGGUAACGGCUCACCAAGACCGCGAUCGGUAGCCGGACUGAGAGGUUGAACGGCCACAUUGGGACUGAGACACGGCCCAGACUCCUACGGGAGGCAGCAGUGGGGGAUAUUGCGCAAUGGGGGCAACCCUGACGCAGCAACGCCGCGUGAAGGAUGAAGGUUUUCGGAGUGUAAACUUCUUUUAUUAAGGACGAAAAAUGACGGUACUUAAUGAAUAAGCGCCGGCUAACUACGUG
rnacentral:rRNA from 1 species